AUGCAGAUUUUACUUAGAUUAAGUCAUAGAGGAGGUGUUCACUUAAACAAUGGAGAUGGUGCCGGUAUUUUAAUUGGUAUGCCACAUGAGUUUUUUCAAAUGUUAAGUGAUACAUGUCAAUUACCUUUUAUAUUACCAGAAAAAGGAGAAUAUGCUGUAGCUCAAAUUUUUUUACCUCAAAAUGAGAAAAGAAGAUUAUUUUUAUAUCGUGAAAUAGAGAAAGAAGUGUAUAACCAUGGUUUGGUAGUUUUAGGUUGGAGAUCACCAAUACCAGUUAGAAGUGAUGUUAUAAGUGAUACAGUUAAAAAGAGUGAACCAUUUAUAGCACAACUUUUUGUAUGUAAACGAUCUGUUUUUAAAAACUAUGACGAUUUUAAUAUUUAUCCAUUUUCAGACAUAGAUUUUACAGAUGAUAGUAAAUUAAAUUUAAAUCAGUUACCCGAAGAUAUCGAAUUAUUAUCUUUUUUUAUAAGAAAAAAAAUGGUUAAACAUAACGAUGCAUAUUUUUGUAGUUUUUCAUCAAGGACUAUAGUAUAUAAAGGGUUAUUUACACCUUCUCAAAUAUAUUUAUAUUUUGAAGAUUUACUGAGUGAACAAUUUACAACCUACUUAGCAAUGGUACAUGUACGCUUUUCAACAAAUACAUCACCAACAUGGUAUGCAGCACAUCCUUUUCGUAGGAUUUGUCAUAAUGGGGAAAUAAAUACAAUAAGUGUCAACUCUUUAUUAUUUAAAGAAAGAAUGUCGUUAGCUAAAACACCUGAUUUUUUUAAAAGUGUUCAAAUAAAAGAUCUGAAACCUAUUAAUGAAGAAAAUUAUAUCAUUUAUGACAAUGAUGAUGAAAUAAUACAAAAAAAAGAUACAUUUGAAGAUAUUAUGUUAACAAAAAAUCGAUUAAAAAAAAAAGCUAGACGAAAUAUAUUACUAAAAUUGAAAAAAGAUUAUACUUAUAACAGUUCAGCAGUACAUUAUAAAUUAAAAAAAGAUUACAUAACUUCAGAUAUAAAUAGUAAUUCCGAAUUUUUAAGCAAUACAAAUGAUUUGGAUAAAACAACAUCAUCUGAUGAUUUAACAUUAGAUACUGUAAUUAGUGAUAACAAUGAAAAAGAAAAUUUGGAAAUGCAAAGUUUACAUAUGGUUAAUGGUACUAUGGAUAGUCCAAAUAAAAAUGAUAUAAAAUUGAUAAAAAAACAUUUAAAACAUGGAGAAAAUAAAAAAACAAAAGGUGCUAUUAGUUAUCCAUCUGAUUCAGCUCUUUUAGACAAUGCGGUUGAUUUUUUAACAAUGACUGGAAAAGAUAUAGAACAUGCAAUAAUGAUGUUAUUACCUAGAGCGUAUCAAAAAGAUCCAAAUAUAUCACCAAAAGAAAGAGCAUUUUAUGAAUACCAUACUUGUAUGAUGGAACCUUGGGAUGGACCAGCAUUAAUUAUAUUUACAGAUGGUAAUAAAGUAGGUAUGACAUUAGAUCGUAAUGGAUUAAGACCAGCUAGAUAUAGUAUAACUACAGAUGGAUUAUUUGUAUUGGCAAGUGAAACAGGUGUAGUAGAUUUAUCCUAUGAUAAGAUAACACAUAAAGGUUCUGUUUAUCCAGGUCGUGUAGUUUUAAUCGAUUUUAAAGAAAAAAGAGUUAUGAAACAUGAUGAAGUAAUGAGUAAAAUGUUAAAAGCAUAUCCAUAUAAAAAAUGGUUAGAUCAUUAUUCUAUUCAUUUGGAUAAUAUAAUUAAACCAGCUCCUAAUAUGGAAAAUAUACGUAUGAAUGCUUAUACAUAUGGUUCAAUAUUAAAUGAAGAAAAAUAUUAUAAUACAGAUAGUAAAGAAAUGGAAUUAGAUUACUAUGAUGAAUCUUUAAUAAAAAAAUUAAAAGUGUUUGGAUAUACGUAUGAUAAUUUUAAUAUGAUCAUAUCUCCAAUGGUAAAACAUGCAGCAGAUGGUUUAGGUGCAAUGGGUAAUGAUACAGCAUGUCCAUGUUUAAGUUAUUUACAUCAUAAUUUAUUAUAUUAUUUUCAACAAUCUUUUGCUCAAGUAACAAAUCCACCAAUUGAUCCAAUUCGAGAAGAAAACAUAAUGUCUUUGAUAAGUAAUUUAGGAAAAGAAGGAGAUUUAGUACAUUAUACACAUGAAAAUUGUCAACGUAUUUUUAUCAAUGGACCUAUAUUAAAUGAAGAAAAUUAUAAUAUGUUGUUACAAUUACCUGCAUUUCCACAUAUUAUUGUUGAUAUGACAAUAGAUAUAUUUAUACUAGAACAAAUAAUGUCAGGUAAUAUCGAAUUUGAGAACAUUAAUUAUGAUCCAAUAAAAAAUAUUUCUUCCACACCAAAACAUGGAUAUAAUUUACUUUUACAAAAAAAUGUAACAUCCAAAUUAGAGGAACAUUGUGGAACUGGUAUAAACACAAAUACAGGGACUACUCCAAAAAAAAUGAUAAAUUCUAAAUAUUUAAUAAAAUUAAUUGAUACUAUUAAUACAAAAGUUGAAUUGGCAAUUCGAAAAGGAAUACAAUUGGUUGUUUUAUCACAUGGUAAUAUUAGUGAUAAUAAAGUACCAAUUUUUUCAAUAAUAAUAGUUGGAGCAUUACAUAAAUAUUUAUUAAGUAAAAAUUUAAGAACAAAAUGUUCUAUUAUUGUAAAAGCUGGAGAUUGCUUUGAAAUUCAUCAUUUAGCAGUUUUGUUAUCAUAUGGUGCAGAUUGUAUUUAUCCUUUUGUUUUGUAUGAAAGUUUACAAUUUAUAAAAUAUAGUGAUAAUGAAGCUAGAUUAAGUAACAAUCAGAUGAUAAGUAAUUAUAGACAUGCAGCAAAUUAUGGUAUUUUAAAAAUUAUGUCAAAAAAUGGUAUUUCUACAUUACCUAGUUAUAAAGGUUGUGGAUUAAUGCAACCAUUAGGUAUAUCAGAUGAAAUAUUAUCAAAAUGUUUUGUAAAUGUAUGUGAUUCUAUUAUAGGAGGUGUCACUUUUGAAUAUGUUGAAAAAGAAAUUUUACACAUAUUUUUUAAUGCAUAUCCAAAAAGGAUAUUAGAAUUAAAUAUGAGUAAUAUAAUGGAAGAAUUAGAAGAUCGUGGAGAAUACCAUUUUCGUAGUAUUGGGAAUACACAUAUUCAUAUGAACCAUCCAGAAACGAUCAGUUUGUUACAAAAAGCUACGAGAAGUGGUAAUAUGGAUACUUAUAAAAAAUAUGCUGAUUUACAAAAUGAAUUAACAAAUCAUUGUGAAAUAAGAGGACAAUUAGAAAUUAAUUAUAAAAAAUGUCCA
ensembl:lncRNA